ensembl:snRNA U6 U6 spliceosomal RNA
GUGCUUGCUUCUGUGGCACAUAUACUAAAAUUGGAAUAAGACAGAGAAGAUUAGCAUGGUCUCUGCAAGUAUGUUGUAGAAAUUUGUGACGUGUUUGAUAUUUAA